UACGAAGGAUGCAAGCGUUAUCCGGAUUCAUUGGGUUUAAAGGGAGCGUAGGUGGCCUUAUAAGUCCGUGGUGAAAUCUCUCGGCUUAACCGAGAAAUUGCCAUUGAUACUGUAGGGCUUGAGUAUAGUUGCCGUUGGCGGAAUAUGACAUGUAGUGGUGAAAUACAUAGAGAUGUCAUAGAACACCGAUUGCGAAGGCAGCUGACGAAACUAUAACUGACACUGAGGCUCGAAAGUGCGGGGAUCAAACAGG
rnacentral:rRNA from 1 species